rnacentral:lncRNA from 1 species
UUGGAUUGUAGCAAGAGCUGGUUCAUUGAUUUAAGUUGAAAAUAAAUGAUCAAAAUAAGUCAGAACAUGUGUUAAAAAGCUUGAAGAACCGUGCAAUCCAGUUUCAAACAGUUAAAACCCCAAAACCCAAAAUCUGGUUUUCAUUGGGGCAUUUUAACAAACACUUUGGUAAAAUAUCAAACAGUUUGGUCUGGAAGACUUUGUGAUCUGCCAUUUACGUU